AAUGAACGCUGGCGGCAGGCCUAACACAUGCAAGUCGAACGGAUCCUUCGGGAUUAGUGGCGGACGGGUGAGUAACGCGUGGGAACGUGCCCUUUGGUUCGGAAUAGCCUCGGGAAACUGGGAGUAAUACCGGAUAAGCCCUUCGGGGGAAAGAUUUAUCGCCAAAGGAUCGGCCCGCGUUGGAUUAGGUAGUUGGUGGGGUAAUGGCCUACCAAGCCGACGAUCCAUAGCUGGUUUGAGAGGAUGAUCAGCCACACUGGGACUGAGACACGGCCCAGACUCCUACGGGAGGCAGAAGUGGGGAAUCUUAGACAAUGGGGGAAACCCUGAUCUAGCCAUGCCGCGUGAUCGAUGAAGGCCUUAGGGUUGUAAAGAUCUUUCAGUUGGGAAGAUAAUGACGGUACCAACAGAAGAAGCCCCGGCUAACUCCGUGCCAGCAGCCGCCGCCGUAA
rnacentral:rRNA from 1 species